AUCAACUUUCGAUGGUAGGAUAGAGGCCUACCAUGGUGGUAACGGGUAACGGGGUGUUAGGGCACGACACCGGAGAGGGAGCCUGAGAAACGGCUACCACAUCCAAGGAUGGCAGCAGGCGCGCAAAUUACCCAAUCCCGACACGGGGAGGUAGUGACAAUAAAUAACAAUACGGGGUUCUUUCGGAUUUCGUAAUUGGAAUGAGUACAAUUUAAAUCUCUUAACGAGGAACAAUUGGAGGGCAAGUCUGGUGCCAGCAGCCGCGGUAAUUCCAGCUCCAAUAGCGUAUAUUAAAGUUGCUGCAGUUAAAAAGCUCGUAGUUGAAUUUCGGGACCAUCAUGUCGGUCGUGCCUCGGUACGUACUGGCAUUGUUGGUUUCUCCCUUCUGACGAACCAUGAUGUCAUUUAUUUGGUGUUGUGGGGAAUCAGGACUGUUACUUUGAAAAAAUUAGAGUGUUUAAAGCAGGCUCACGCUUGAAUACGUUAGCAUGGAAUAAUGAAAUAGGACGUUUGAUUCUAUUUUGUUGGUUUCUAGGAUCGACGUAAUGAUUAAUAGGGAUAGUUGGGGGCAUUAGUAUUCAAUUGUCAGAGGUGAAAUUCUUGGAUUUAUUGAAGACUAACUACUGCGAAAGCAUUUGCCAAGGAUGUUUUCAUUAAUCAAGAACGAAAGUUAGGGGAUCGAAGACGAUCAGAUACCGUCGUAGUCUUAACCAUAAACUAUGCCGACUAGGGAUCGGAUGAUGUUAAUUUUUUAAUGACUCAUUCGGCGCCUUACGGGAAACCAAAGUGUUUGGGUUC
rnacentral:rRNA from 1 species